UGUUUUGAACUUAGGAGCAUCCUGACUCGCGGUUGUCGAAGCCGGUCAAAAAUAACCUUUCUGGUUAUCAACAAUUUACAACUGCAGAUAGUGGUGAAAGGAUCGAAUCCACAGGGAAUUGAGAACUCACCUAUUUCUCUUUUUGGGACCAAAAAAUAAACUGAAACAAUAAUAAACUAAAAAUGAGAUAAAAACUGAAAGUGGGAUCAAAUGAGAUAAACUGAAAAUUGGGAUCAAAAUUGUCGACAAAAUAACAGGGGGGUUUGAGAUUGAUUGUAGUAAACUAAUAAUGAGAAAAAUAAUGGAAAGCAAAUAAUUAAAUAAAAAGUAAUCAAUAAUGAGAAAGCUCUAGUUGAAGUAUUGGAUCCACUUUAGUUGUUGGGAUUGAUCACAGACACUAUGUUCUUUUGGGUUGAUUCAAUAGAUUAGUUAUGGAGAUGGAAGAUGCUUCUCACCACCAUUAUCUCUCAUUAUGAUUAAACCAAUUAGGGAACGUUCUCUAAUUAAUUACUAAUUAACAAAUUGCCAAGGAACGUCCUUGGGCCUUAGGCAUCAAAACAAUUGUCAAUUGCAUUAAAAAAUAGAGAGAUCCAAUCCUAACUACCCAAACGUAUGGAGAUAACGCUAGAUCAUACAAUUUCCUUGGGUUUUAUCCCAAGUGUUCUCAUGUAAGAAUAAUCCAAGCA
rnacentral:lncRNA from 1 species